rnacentral:rRNA from 1 species
UUCCGUCGCGUACCUGCGGAAGGAUCAUUA